CCUCAGCCUCAAGCUCGAAUGUGACAAGUUGGCCAGUGAGAAGUCAGAGAUGCAGCGUCACUAUGUGAUGUACUACGAGAUGUCCUACGGCUUGAACAUCGAGAUGCACAAACAGGCGGAGAUCGUCAAAAGGCUGAACGGGAUUUGUGCCCAGGUCCUGCCCUACCUCUCCCAAGAGCACCAGCAGCAGGUCUUGGGAGCAAUUGAGAGGGCCAAGCAGGUCACCGCUCCCGAGCUGAACUCUAUCAUCCGAGUAUGUAUGGGGACCUGGGCGGGUGGGCGGGGGACAGGUGGGCCCCAGGCAGCUAAUGUUCCCCUCCCCCGCCCUGCAGCAGCAGCUCCAAGCCCACCAGCUGUCCCAGCUGCAGGCCCUGGCCCUGCCCUUGACCCCACUGCCCGUGGGGCUGCAGCCGCCUUCGCUGCCGGCGGUCAGCGCAGGCACCGGCCUCCUCUCGCUGUCCGCGCUGGGUUCCCAGGCCCACCUCUCCAAGGAAGACAAGAACGGGCACGACGGUGACACCCACCAGGAGGAUGAUGGCGAGAAGUCGGAUUAGCAGGGGGCCGGGACGGGGAGGUUGGGAGGGGGGACAGAGGGGAGACAGAGGCACGGAGAGAAAGGAAUGUUCAGCACAAGACACAGCGGAGCUCGGGAUUGGCUAAACUCCCAUAGUAUUUAUGGUGGCCGCCGGCGGGGGCCCCAGCCCAGCUUGCAGACCACCUCUAGCUUUCUUCCUAUCCCAGUCCCGGCCUCCCUCCUCCUCCCCUGCAGCCUGGUUAGGUGGAUACUUGCCCUGACAUGUGAGGCAAGCUAAGGCCCGGAGGGUCAGAUGGGAGACCAGGUCCCAAGGGAGCAAGACCUCGCGAAGCGCAGCACCCCCGGCCCUUCCCCCAUUUUGAACAUGUGUAACUGACAGUCUGCCUGGGCCCCUCGGGACACAUGCCACAGCCCUCUCACCCUGGUACUGCAUGCACGCAAUGCUAGCUGCCCCUUUCCCGUCCUGGGCACCCCGAGUCUCCCCCGACCCCGGGUCCCAGGUAUGCUCCCACCUCCACCUGCCCCACUCACCACCUCUGCUAGUUCCAGACACCUCCACGCCCACCUGGUCCUCUCCCAUCGCCCACAAAAGGGGGGGGGCACGAGGGAUGAGCUUAGCUGAGCUGGGAGGAGCAGGGUGAGGG
rnacentral:sRNA from 1 species